rnacentral:lncRNA from 1 species
GUGCACCCUUGCGUGUUGCUUCUGUAAGGAUUAAAAAUUAAAAUCAGUUUAGUACUAAUCCAAUUUUUUGGGAUUGAGACAAUAAUUGAAGACUGAAGCAGAAAAUGACUAAAUUCUAAAUUCUGCGUCUAUCAUCAUUACACAUAAUAAUGAGAAAAUCAAAAAUGUAUUUUCACUUCAAUUUGAGCCUUUUGAUGCUCAUUUCUGGGGUUUCAUGUGAUUGUGGGAAGCCUGGUUUUGGGAUUUUGCUCUGGUUGGGUGAUGAUGACAGUGAUGACGAUGGCGUUCGUGCUCAAGUUCCCCUAAAGCAAAGCCGUGCUUACACAACGCUGGCGGCCAAGUCAUUAAUCAGUUUUACUGGAGGGUUGUGAAGAACAAAUGCUGCAACAUGAUCUGGUGGAACCAGGCAGAUCAACUCUCUGGUUUCCCCACAGGUCUCUACCUCUCCGUUGUCACUGUCACUUUACCUCCCAGGCCUCAUAAAUCAUUCAGCGGGCCAGGGAAAGUUAUUCCAAGUAAACUUUUUACAAACUGAUCAGGUAGUGGCUGCUGAACCUGAGACGUAAGAGGUUUGUUCUUCUGUUCUGACCAAAUUGACAUUUCAGGGGGGGAAAAGGUUAUUUUAGAACCAUUUUCGUGGACUUCGGCAACUGGAAAUGCUGCCCAUGUUAAGGAGGUCCAGGUGCAGACGGUUCAGGUGUGUGUUGAGGCUUAUCGCUCUGUUUGUUACUCUGGUUCACGAAGGCAGCUUCCAGGAAAGGCCCCCCUGCAUCCCAGGUUUCUACUGUCCCCUGGGUAGUGUCACUCCAGUCCCCUGUCCUAAAGGGACGUAUGGCCCGACUGCUGGUGCGGAGUCCACAGACAACUGUGUCAAAUGUCCUCCCCACCACUACUGUCCCAGACCAGGUCUGCUUUCUCCCCUGCUCUGUGGCCCAGUGGCUCAACAGCCAUUGUCGGGUCAGGAUUCUUGCGUCUGCCCCGGACAGGGGCAGCAAUUCCAGGUGACAGCUUAAUCUGCUCUGUCUAUUUCUCAAGUUCUCUUCAAG